rnacentral:lncRNA from 1 species
GUUACCCAGAGUGACUAUUAGUAAGCUCUGGUUUCACCAGAACCCUCCCAAGUGGUAUUUGCUCACAUGGCCAGAAGUUCAGAUCAGAGAGGGGCUUUGCUGCCUUGGCAGAGAUUAAAGUCUGUGCUAUCUACGACAGUAGCAGUCUCAUUGUUAGUUAGAAAUCAUCACUUGUCAGGUGGUAAAAUAAAGACAGAUCUAUUUAAGAGAUGCAAUGUAGAAGUAAAAACAUAUCAUCUCUGAAAGGCUAGUUACAGGAAGCUAAAAUGAUUACAGCUAAGAAUCACUUAUAUUUGGAAAAUGCAAGAAAUCCAUUGUGCUUAAAUACUACUGCAUUUGAUAUGUUGCCUCAUUGAAUUAUAUAUUGUAUUUUUGGCUAUCAGCAGUGUCUAUCGCUAUAUGUUUUAUUAAACUUGGUUUCCAAAAGGAAUAUUAGUAUUUUGAAUCAUUUUAUUAACCAUAAAAAAUUUUAUAUUUUUCUUAAGGUUAGUUGGUUAAGAUAGGCUGGUUCUUGGCAUUUUUUCCAAAGAUAAGACUUUAGCUUUUGCAUCUCUAAAUUUAGUAGAAGGUUAUAGUUCAAAGAAAAAGUUCAAAAUGUCUCUGUGAUUAAUUAGAGCAAAAUCCUUUUUACUUUGACUUUUGGCAUUGUGCCAUGUGCUUUAUCAAACAUCAAGAAUUAUCUUGAUCUUUAGAACACCUUUAUGGAACGGAAAUAACAGCCUUAAAGCUGAUAAUAGAAGAACAGAUGCAAAUGCAUAAAACAGCUGUUCUAUUUAGCUAUGCAUUAUAAUGCUUUUUAUUUUAGUAACCGUCUGAUUAAAGUUAUCAUUAGGAACAACUGAUAUCUUUCUUGACCUCACCAUAUUUAGAACAAAAUUUAAUAGGAUGAAUCUCCUGACACCUCAUAUUUUGCAACAUCAUUGUACUUCUCACACAGGGCGGGAUAUGGUUAUACAACAAUGGAAACGUAUCUGCUCUCUCAGGACAAUUUCUCUUCUACUUGAGUUUUUCCCACUGAUUUGUGUCACUUGUUCAAGAGUUAAAAAUUACCCUUCAGAACCAACUUGGCUUAUCUCAUGCUGUUGAAGCUGAGGGCCAAUGAAAAGCAAGGUAUAUCUUGCUUUAAAUUUCUUCAUUUUCUUCUUAUUGUUGCAUAAUGAAGUUAUAUCAAAUUAUGUGUUUUUUUCUGAGGUUUUUAUGUUUUGUUCACUCUCUUUAUCAUCC